rnacentral:rRNA from 1 species
CACACCUACGGGGCGCAGCAGUGGGGAAUAUUGCACAAUGGGGGAAACCCUGAUGCAGCGACGCCGCGUGGGCGAGGAAGUACCUCGGUAUGUAAAGCCCUAUCAGCAGGGAAGCAACAGGACAGUACCUGACUAAGAAGCCUCGGCUAACUACGUGCCAGCAGCCGCGGUAAUACGUAGGGGGCAAGCGUUAUCCGGAUUCACUGGGCGUAAAGGGAGCGCAGGCGGCAUGACAAGUCUGUUGUGCAAACCCGGGGCCCAACACC